rnacentral:lncRNA from 1 species
UUCUCUUAAUUUAUUUUAUAUAUGUCAUAGCUCUAAAACAAAACAACUUUGAUAAGCCAAAUUUAAAAUUAAAAAGAGCUUACCUCUCCAAACAUCAUGACAAGAAAUGGAUUCUACUCUAUUUACUCUUUUUUCUUCGCCCAAUCUCCUCUCAAAUUAUACACAAUUCUUCAUUCUAUUUAAUUCAAUCUAAUCUAAUUUGUUCUGAUCAAGCUAUUAAUAAUUAAAGAGUUUGACCGGGCAGAGGCAAUGGAGUCCAUCAAUUUGAAAGUUUUGCUCACAACUGAGUCCAGAAGUCAAACCUAUUCCCUUGUUAGAGGGAAAAAAAAAGGCAAUCUAGAAGUACCUUGUAAUGAGAUCUCAUGCUCACAAAGUCCACAUCCGAUAUUGCCUCUAGCUUGACGCCCAUAGGUGUUGAGAUCUUUGCAAAAUAAAUUACUUGUGGAACCUAUGCCUCUAGCUGUUAGGAGACUUGCCAAUUGAGUACACGCCACAUCUAGGUGCCAAACUAGUUUCACACACAUAGUUGCUUAUACUCCACGGGGCAUGCCGACUAUGUUCAAAAGAUUCCGACACAUUAGUUUUACAAUGGUAAAAAUAAUUUAUAGGCACAAUCAAAACCAACUUAAAUCAAUUUCAUGAAUAAGUAUUACGAAGGCAUGCAUUAAAUUAACCAGACAAUAAAAAUUUAGUGAUUGCAAACGGAAAUAUCUAAGCAUUCGAUACUUAGAAGCAAGGAAUCCUCCACAAUUUUCACUUUCCACAAUUCGCUCAACUCUUUCGCUUCAAGAGAAAAUUAUACGACGUCGUUAAAAAUAAUCCUAAGUUAUCAUUUGGAUAGCCAUUAGUCUAGUUUUAAUCUUAAAAAAAUUUUAAUGUAACCUAAUUAACAAUAACUAAUUUCUAUCCUUAAUCCGAAUUUACUAAUUAAUAACCAUAUGCUACAAAUGAUCGUCAACCUAACAACUCAUCUUUAAAUCAAAACUGACAAGUUAAUCAUGCAUGAAUUCAAAUUAAAUUAAUCCUAAAUUAAACAAUAUAAAUCUAAAUCAAGUCAAUUCCUUUUAGUACUUACUCUAACUAAUGAAGCCUAACCACGAGUAAUUUCAAUUUUACUCAAACAAUGCAUCAACUAAUAGAUUAAUCUUGCUAGUGAAAAUUAAAAGAAGUAAGGCACGUCAUAAGACAAACAAUGAGCAACCAAUUUUUGAUCGAUAACUCCAACAAUUUUUUUUGGCUGAUUGAAAGCCAAUUAAAGGCCAAACCCCAGCAGCAACAUAAAGGCGAACGAACGCCAUCUGAAUUAGAGAAGUAAAACGGUAGCAAGCUGGUUGACGAAGAGGAGCAAAGUAACAGGAAACAAUUUGACGGUAGAACUGAACGAGAAAACGACAACAGAUCUUGAAGGGGAUGGGGAUACUUUGAACAAACUUGCGGCAACAAUUACUGGAGCAAAGCAGCAGCUAAAUGGAGCACAACGGCAGUAGCAAAUAGUAGGCAAAGAUUUGAAGAAUUUUGGUUGCUAGUACUUGAGACUAUCGGUGCGACAGACUGGCAAUGAAGAAUUAUCCAAUUUGGUUGCCACAAGGAGAUUACAACAAUUUGCAAGAGCAACUAAUCGAAGCAACAAAGCUUCUAUGAAGAACAUAUGGUAGCGGCAAUGCUUUGGCAGUCAAGGCAAUCGGUGCAAGGUGAGUUGGUUCAACGAUUGGAGAAGCAAAUCGGUGCCCCUUGGACAACAUGGGAAAUCGAAUUUGGCUGUAGUGUUGAAGUUUGGCAUCCAUGCAGCUCAUGCAGCAAGGAGCAGUACAUGUAAUCGAGCCAAGCUUUGCAGCAGCUGAAGCACGAUGCUAC